rnacentral:rRNA from 1 species
GACAGAGGAGCCAAGCGUUGUCCGGAUUGACUGGGCGUAAAGCGCACGCAGGCGGUUGCGCGCGUGGGGUGUGAAAGCUGGUGGCUUAACUGCCAGAUGCCAUCCCAUACGGCGCGACUCGAGCCCGUGAGAGGUCCACGGAAUUGCCGGUGUAGAGGUGAAAUUCGUAGAUAUCGGGAGGAACACCUGUGGCGAAGGCGGCCAUCUGGACGGUAACUGACGCUGAGACGCGAAAGCGUGGGUAGCAAACAGG